rnacentral:rRNA from 1 species
UAGAGUUUGAUCCUGGCUCAGGACGAACGCGGCGGCGUGCCUAAUACAUGCAAGUCGAGCGGACAGAUGGGAGCUUGCUCCCUGAUGUUAGCGGCGGACGGGUGAGUAACACGUGGGUAACCUGCCUGUAAGACUGGGAUAACUCCGGGAAACCGGGGCUAAUACCGGAUGCUUGUUUGAACCGCAUGGUUCAAACAUAAAAGGUGGCUUCGGCUACCACUUACAGAUGGACCCGCGGCGCAUUAGCUAGUUGGUGAGGUAACGGCUCACCAAGGCAACGAUGCGUAGCCGACCUGAGAGGGUGAUCGGCCACACUGGGACUGAGACACGGCCCAGACUCCUACGGGAGGCAGCAGUAGGGAAUCUUCCGCAAUGGACGAAAGUCUGACGGAGCAACGCCGCGUGAGUGAUGAAGGUUUUCGGAUCGUAAAGCUCUGUUGUUAGGGAAGAACAAGUACCGUUCGAAUAGGGCGGYACCUUGACGGUACCUAACCAGAAAGCCACGGCUAACUACGUGCCAGCAGCCGCGGUAAUACGUAGGUGGCAAGCGUUGUCCGGAAUUAUUGGGCGUAAAGGGCUCGCAGGCGGUUCCUUAAGUCUGAUGUGAAAGCCCCCGGCUCAACCGGGGAGGGUCAUUGGAAACUGGGGAACUUGAGUGCAGAAGAGUGGAAUUCCACGUGUAGCGGUAAAUGCGUAGAGAUGGGAGGAACACCAGUGCAAGGCGACU